rnacentral:rRNA from 1 species
AACGAACGCUGGCGGCAUGCCUAACACAUGCAAGUCGAACGAGAUCUUCGGGUCUAGUGGCGCACGGGUGCGUAACGCGUGGGAAUCUGCCCUUUGGUUCGGAAUAACAGUUGGAAACGACUGCUAAUACCGGAUGAUGACGAAAGUCCAAAGAUUUAUCGCCAGAGGAUGAGCCCGCGUAGGAUUAGCUAGUUGGUGUGGUAAAGGCGCACCAAGGCGACGAUCCUUAGCUGGUCUGAGCGGAUGAUCAGCCACACUGGGACUGAGACACGGCCCAGACUCCUACGUGAGGCAGCAGUGGGGAAUAUUGGACAAUGGGCGAAAGCCUGAUCCAGCAAUGCCGCGUGAGUGAUGAAGGCCUUAGGGUUGUAAAGCUCUUUUACCCGGGAUGAUAAUGACAGUACCGGGAGAAUAAGCUCCGGCUAACUCCGUGCCAGCAGCCGCCGCAG